rnacentral:rRNA from 1 species
CGGACGGGUGAGUAAUGUCUGGGGAUCUGCCCGAUGGAGGGGGAUAACCACUGGAAACGGUGGCUAAUACCGCAUAACGUCGCAAGACCAAAGUGGGGGACCUUCGGGCCUCACACCAUCGGAUGAACCCAGAUGGGAUUAGCUAGUAGGUGGGGUAACGGCUCACCUAGGCGACGAUCCCUAGCUGGUCUGAGAGGAUGACCAGCCACACUGGAACUGAGACACGGUCCAGACUCCUACGGGAGGCAGCAGUGGGGAAUAUUGCACAAUGGGCGCAAGCCUGAUGCAGCCAUGCCGCGUGUAUGAAGAAGGCCUUCGGGUUGUAAAGUACUUUCAGCGGGGAGGAAGGGGACGAGGUUAAUAACCUCGUUCAUUGACGUUACCCGCAGAAGAAGCACCGGCUAACUCCGUGC